rnacentral:siRNA from 1 species
CAGUUUAGUUUUGAUGUGUC